CGAACUUGCUACACCAAGUGCACUUUCUUACAUGUGUAUAGUGCUUCUCUUACAACGCCGAAUUUAUGGGGUUCUGUUUGGACCCAAGAUAUUAAACUUAUUUUCUGGAAGUUGGCAAAGUGUUUGAAGCUUGCUUCACCUCCGCCGAGGGUCGGCCCAGUAUUGCACUAUCUCCGGGAUCGGCUCACGCAUU